UACGUAGGGCGCAAGCGUUGUCCGGAAUUAUUGGGCGUAAAGAGCUCGUAGGCGGCCUGUUGCGUCCGCUGUGAAAUCCCGGGGCUCAACCCCGGGCGUGCAGUGGAUACGGGCUGGCUGGAGGCAGGCAGGGGAGAACGGAAUUCCUGGUGUAGCGGUGAAAUGCGCAGAUAUCAGGAGGAACACCGGUGGCGAAGGCGGGUCUCUGGGCCGAUACUGACGCUGAGGAGCGAAAGCGUGGGGAGCGAACAGG
rnacentral:rRNA from 1 species